UACGUAGGGUGCAAGCGUUAUCCGGAAUUAUUGGGCGUAAAGAGCUCGUAGGCGGUUUGUCGCGUCUGCUGUGAAAACUGGAGGCUCAACCUCCAGCCUGCAGUGGGUACGGGCAGACUAGAGUGCGGUAGGGGAGAUUGGAAUUCCUGGUGUAGCGGUGGAAUGCGCAGAUAUCAGGAGGAACACCAGUAGCGAAGGCGGCACUCUGGGCCGUGACUGACGCUGAGGAGCGAAAGCGUGGGUAGCAAACAGG
rnacentral:rRNA from 1 species